GGUUCUGACUCCUGGUCCACACAGGUUCUGACUCCUGGUCCACACAGGUUCUGACUCCUGGUCCACACAGGUUCUGACUCCUGAUCCACACAGGUUUGGUUUAAUGUCAAACAACAGUUCCUGCUGACUCAGCUGUCAUCAGCCCCUCCCCCCUCGAGCCGAGCCCCGCCCCUCCUCACUUCGCUUCAUUUCCUCCUCAGGCUGCUGAUGUCAUUUCCACCCGUGGACUUGUAGGAUGUGGGUUAGCUUCCUGUCUGCUUUCAAAGCCCCGCCCCCCGGCGUUGAAGGAGUGCGCCGGUUGUGAUACUUCCCCAUGCGUGGUGGGGGGGGGUCGCUCCUCUCCGACCCGGGCCUCGGCUCAUUCAGGGUCCGAUCGCCGACGUUUUCACACCUUUUAUCUGGACUUUAGUCAGUUUCCUUUUUGUUUUUUGUUUUUUUACACACUGAACUUGAAUUUCUUAGCAAACCGAAACACAAACAGAUCUAAAGGAAAUAAAAAGGUAAUUCUACUUGAAUUGGGGAUUUGAAACCCAGAUGUUUUGUUUUUCGCGUUCUCUCUCCCUGUUUCUUAAAGGAACGUGUACUUUUACUGUUUGGGCAAUCCUGUGUAUUGCUGCCWCUGUUGUAUCUAGCGAUGGAUCUGUCUUACCUUUUUAUUCUGUCGGGUCAAAAAGCUGAAAUGUAGAAGUUUUURUUUGAAUAUUGUGUCUGAAUGCAGCAUGUUUUUAAAUCCGGUUGGGCUUCUACUAUGGAUGCACUUCAUCUCCAUCAUGUAAAAUAAGCUCACGUGCCGACAAGAGAACUAAAUUAAACAUUUUUCUGUUUUAACUUCA